rnacentral:lncRNA from 1 species
UGCAUUUGGCGGGAUCUGUGUCUCUCGCUGGUGCUGGCACAGGAGCUUGGGAUCUGUCUCCUCUUUCGCCUCCUGCACCUUGAGAGCCCUGGGCUACUCUGUCACAGCCCCUGUUGCCCUGCGAUCUGUAGGUCCUUGGGGACGCAUAGUUAAGGUGCCAGGACAUCCUGGAAGCUGGGAAAUGAUUUCUUCCAGACCAUGGCUGGAGAAGGAAAGAAGGUGUGUUUUGCCUGAUUCAGGGACUAUAGAGAGAACCAAGUUCUGCAGGCCUGUCAUCUAAGUCUCAGGGCGGGGAGACCUUCCUUCCCCACGGGUUUGAGGCUAUGGCUAAGUGGUGAGCCUUGGUGAGACGCAGAAAGGAUCCAUCCCAGGCACUUGGCUAGAGGGCAAGAAAGCUUUCUAAGACCCCGAACUCCAGAUAUGCGAUGGGGCAAAUCCUGAAGCGUACAUGGCUAUCUCUCACAGCUAAAGCAUCCCUCACCCCUAUCCAGCGCUUCUUACCCCUGGCGCAAGAGAAUCACCUGCGGGGAGGAAAACUUUCAAAAUCCCUUAAACCCAAGUUGUAACCGCACAACUAAAUCAGAAUCCUUGGAGCUGGAUCUGAAAAAAAUAUGGUUGAAAGUCGUGCAGGUGAUUACAAUGUGUAGGCAAGCCAGAAAACCAUGGCUUUAACGAGCAGCUUUUGUUAGAAAUGAUUUCUCCAAUGAAUGUGAAAACGUUUGCUGCUGAAUUGUGACCUUUCCAUUUUACCUGCUUUUCCUGCAAAGUAUAUUUUGCAGACCCAGGCUGGCUUCUCCUUCUGUUCCUGGUUCACCCAGUGCCGUGUGUGCUCAGUGCAUCCUGUGCACGGGUCACUGUGUGCCCUGGCCUGGGUGAGCAUCAUUCUUCGGGGAGAACCUUGAUGAAAACAAAGCUGCAUUCCAAAAAGUUAAAACCAUGCUACUUACUGUGUUGAAGUAAAAAUUAAAAGACCCAGGGGGGCUCACCCAAAAGUUAAAACAUAAAUAAAUAACUUGGAACAUUAACAUACACCUGAUGAUGUCCUGAGUGAACACGCCCCACUUGAAAACAAAACAAAACAUUGCUAUUAUUCUAAAAUAUUAAUUUAGGAUUGUUAUGCAAACAUGCACUCUUUACAUUUUUAUUGAUAAAUAACAUGCAUACAGCAAUAUAGGCACAAAGCAUUUAGGGAAUGUUUGAUGAAUUAUUACUAAAUAAAUACACUUGUGUAUCUAAGAAUCAGAUUUGUUCAUGCCCCUGACACUUUCCCCUUCCCAAAGGUAACCAAGACCUUAAGAGCUAAGUGUAGAUAAACUUUGUCAUUUUGUACAAGUGUUUUAUUACAGAUCACUAAAAACAUACACAAUACAAAAAAAGUAUAACAGACCAGUCACCCAGCUUUAACAGCUGCUAGUCAUGUGUCAUUUUUGUUUUAUCUAUACUUCCAGCCAUGCCCCCACCCCCAAUUUCAUUAUUUUUUAGGCUUUUUGGAUAAAAUGUAUAUUCAUUGCAAGGUACAAUGCGAACUGUAAAUAGUAGAGAGAUGGGGUUUUACCAUGUUGGUCAGGCUGUUCUUGAACUCCUGACCUCAGGUGAUCCACUCUCUUCCACCUCGCAAAGUGCUGGGAUUACAGGCGUGAGCCAAUAUACUCGGCCUGAGAAUUCAUAUUUCUAAUAAAGUACAAAUCCAUAGGGCACAUGACAACUGCAAUGUCUAUCUACAGUAAAAACAGUUUGAUGAAUAAAAUGAAAGGCAAUUGACUUAAGGUGGGAAAAAAACAAUCAAAGCAUGGGUACUAUGUGCCAUCUGUAGGAGCAUUUGGUUAAGAAUAACAAACAAACCAGUUUUAUUGUUUUAAUAACCGAAAUUGGCAAAAUUUCUAGUUUUUCUUUCAUAGGAAUGCUCUUAGCAAGAAAAAAUUUUCAUAUGGUGAGAGCAAAAAUGACAACCAUUUGCAAGUAAAUGUCUUAUGAAAUUAAGUAGCAGAUAUCAAGCUCAUGACCUUCAGAUUGUUACCCCUAACUCAAUCAUUUACAUAGCAAGUGCAGAUAAUUUUCAUAGUUCCCCAUUAAAAUUAUACUUUACUCCCCUUACAAAUUGUGACUGUUUUUAAAUAAAGUUCACUAACUAAAAUUUUGUAUAUGACAUAUGAUAAAUUUCCCUUCAAGUCACCUUAUAUUUACUUAAUUGUGUUAGCCAGUGUCUGUCUACCUCCCAACAAUACUUUGGGAUUCUCCCUCCAUUUGCACAGGCAUCAUAGCUGGGGAACAGGGAUUCAAAAGACCCAGGCUGUUCCCUACAUAUGUUUCCUCCUCAGACAUCAGUUAAUCAGUCAAUCAAGUCAAGUGAGAGUGGAGGCCAUGUAUUCCCUCUUAUUCUUGGGCACUCUCCUCCAAGGAGGAAAAGGCCAGGAGGUCCUGUUAGAGGAUGCACUCUGAGAGCCCGGGCUCCCUAAGGUAUGAGAGUUCUAACCAGCAGGUGUAGACUUUUCAGGAGUGAGGAAUGAGGCAGGCAUUCCAAACCUGGAGCUUCAUCACCUUUUGUUUCAUCUCAAGACAAUUCUGAGGGGCUGUUUUGGAGCGUGUCUGGAAGGUGAACGUUGAAGAAGAGUGUGGGCUUUGAUGUGACUCAG